UCUACGGGUGGCAGCAGUGAGGAAUAUUGGUCAAUGGGCGCGAGCCUGAACCAGCCAAGUAGCGUGAAGGAUGACUGCCCUACGGGUUGUAAACUUCAUUUAUAAAGGAAUAAAGUGAGGCACGUGUGCCUUUUUGUAUGUACUUUAUGAAUAAGGAUCGGCUAACUCCGUGCCAGCAGCCGCGGUAAUACGGGGGAUCCGAGCGUUAUCCGGUUUUAUUGGGUUUAAAGGAAGCGUAGAUGGGUGGUUAAGUCAGUUGUGAAAGUUUGCGGCUCAACCGUAAAAUUGCAAUUGAUACUGGCAGGCUGGAGUACAGGUGAGGUAGGCAGAAUUCGUGGUGUAGCGGUGAAAUGCUUAGAUAUCACGAAGAACUCCGAUUGCGAAGGCAGCUUACUAAACUGCCACUGACAUUGAUGCUCGAAAGUGUGGGUAUCAAACAGGAUUAGAUACCCGAGUAGUC
rnacentral:rRNA from 1 species